GAUGAACGCUGGCGGCGUGCCUAAUACAUGCAAGUCGAGCGAACAGACGAGGAGCUUGCUCCUCUGACGUUAGCGGCGGACGGGUGAGUAACACGUGGAUAACCUACCUAUAAGACUGGGAUAACUUCGGGAAACCGGAGCUAAUACCGGAUAAUAUAUUGAACCGCAUGGUUCAAUAGUGAAAGACGGUUUUGCUGUCACUUAUAGAUGGAUCCGCGCCGCAUUAGCUAGUUGGUAAGGUACGGCUUACCAAGGCAACGAUGCGUAGCCGACCUGAGAGGGUGAUCAGCCACACUGGAACUGAGACACGGUCCAGACUCCUACGGGAGGCAGCAGUAGGGAAUCUUCCGCAAUGGGCGAAAGCCUGACGGAGCAACGCCGCGUGAGUGAUGAAGGUCUUCGGAUCGUAAAACUCUGUUAUUAGGGAAGAACAAAUGUGUAAGUAACUAUGCACGUCUUGACGGUACCUAAUCAGAAAGCCACGGCUAACUACGUG
rnacentral:rRNA from 1 species